rnacentral:rRNA from 3 species
GAUGAACGCUGGCGGCGUGCUUAACACAUGCAAGUCGAACGAGCCUUCGGGCUAGUGGCGGACGGGUGAGUAACGCGUGGGAAUCUGCCCUCAGGAGGGGGAUAACGGCCGGAAACGGCCGCUAAUACCCCAUAUGCCGAGAGGUGAAAUGAAUUUCGCCUGAGGAUGAGCCCGCGUCUGAUUAGCUAGUUGGUGUGGUAAUGGCGCACCAAGGCUUCGAUCAGUAGCUGGUCUGAGAGGAUGAUCAGCCACACUGGGACUGAGACACGGCCCAGACUCCUACGGGAGGCAGCAGUGGGGAAUUUUCCGCAAUGGGCGCAAGCCUGACGGAGCAACGCCGCGUGAGGGACGAAGGCCUCUGGGCUGUAAACCUCUUUUCUCAAGGAAGAAGACAUGACGGUACUUGAGGAAUAAGCCACGGCUAAUUCCGUGCCAGCAGCCGCGGUAAUACGGGAGUGGCAAGCGUUAUCCGGAAUUAUUGGGCGUAAAGCGUCCGCAGGCGGCCCAGCAAGUCUGUUGUUAAAAAGUGGAGCUUAACUCCAUCCAGGCAAUGGAAACUGCUGGGCUAGAGUGUGGUAGGGGCAGAGGGAAUUCCCGGUGUAGCGGUGAAAUGCGUAGAUAUCGGGAAGAACACCAGUGGCGAAGGCGCUCUGCUGGGCCAUAACUGACGCUCAUGGACGAAAGCCAGGGGAGCGAAAGGGAUUAGAUACCCCUGUAGUCCUGGCCGUAAACGAUGAACACUAGGUGUCGGGGGAAUCGACCCCCUCGGUGUCGUAGCCAACGCGUUAAGUGUUCCGCCUGGGGAGUACGCACGCAAGUGUGAAACUCAAAGGAAUUGACGGGGGCCCGCACAAGCGGUGGAGUAUGUGGUUUAAUUCGAUGCAACGCGAAGAACCUUACCAGGGUUUGACAUCCUGCGAAUCCCUUGGAAACUUGGGAGUGCCUUCGGGAGCGCAGUGACAGGUGGUGCAUGGCUGUCGUCAGCUCGUGUCGUGAGAUGUUGGGUUAAGUCCCGCAACGAGCGCAACCCACGUCUUUAGUUGCCAGCAUUCAGUUGGGCACUCUAGAGAGACCGCCGGUGAUAAACCGGAGGAAGGUGUGGAUGACGUCAAGUCAUCAUGCCCCUUACAUCCUGGGCUACACACGUACUACAAUGCUACGGACAAAGGGCAGCAAACUCGCGAGAGCUAGCAAAUCCCAUAAACCGUGGCUCAGUUCAGAUCGUAGGCUGCAACUCGCCUACGUGAAGGAGGAAUCGCUAGUAAUCGCAGGUCAGCAUACUGCGGUGAAUACGUUCCCGGGCCUUGUACACACCGCCCGUCACACCAUGGAAGUUGGCCAUGCCCGAAGUCGUUACUCCAACCCGUAAGGGAGGAGGACGCCGAAGGUGGGGCUGAUGACUGGGGUGAAGUCGUAACAAGGUAGCCGUACCGGAAGGUGCGGCUGGAUCACCUCCU